rnacentral:rRNA from 1 species
GACAGAGGGGGCAAGCGUUGCUCGGAAUUACUGGGCGUAAAGGGUGCGUAGGCGGCGUGGUAAGUCGGGUGUGAAAUCUCGGAGCUUAACUCCGAAACUGCAUUCGAUACUGCCGUGCUUGAGGACUGGAGAGGAGACUGGAAUUUACGGUGUAGCGGUGAAAUGCGUAGAUAUCGUAAGGAAGACCAGUGGCGAAGGCGGGUCUCUGGACAGUUCCUGACGCUGAGGCACGAAGGCCAGGGGAGCAAACGGG